rnacentral:rRNA from 1 species
AACUUCGGGAAAAGGUACGCCCUUGUAGCUUGACUGAUUUACUUCAGUAGGGCGAACGGGUUGCAAUAAACUGGUGGCUGCGACUGUUUAAUAAAAACACAGCACUCUGCAAACACGAAAGUGGACGUAUAGGGUGUGACGCCUGCCCGGUGCUGGAAGAUUAAAUGAUGGGGUGCAAGCUCUUGAUUGAAGUCCCAGUAAACGGCGGCCGUAACUAUAACGGUCCUAAGGUAGCGAAAUUCCUUGUCGGGUAAGUUCCGACCUGCACGAAUGGCGUAACGAAGGCCACACUGUCUCCUCCCGAGACUCAGCGAAGUUGAAGUGUUUGUGAUGAUGCAAUCUACCCGCGGCUAGACGGAAAGACCCCAUGAACCUUUACUGUAGCUUUGCAUUGGACUUUGAAUCAAUCUGUGUAGGAUAGGUGGGAGGCUUUGAAGCGGGGACGCCAGUUCUCGUGGAGCCAACCUUGAAAUACCACCCUGGUUCAUUUGAGGUUCUAACCUUGGCCCGUUAUCCGGGUCGGGGACAGUGCAUGGUAGGCAGUUUGACUGGGGCGGUCUCCUCCUAAAGUGUAACGGAGGAGUUCGAAGGUACGCUAGGUACGGUCGGACAUCGUGCUAAUAGUGCAAUGGCAUAAGCGUGCUUAACUGCGAGACUGACAAGUCGAGCAGGUACGAAAGUAGGACAUAGUGAUCCGGUGGUUCUGUAUGGAAGGGCCAUCGCUCAACGGAUAAAAGGUACUCUGGGAUAACAGGCUGAUUCCUCCCAAGAGUUCAUAUCGACGGGGGAGUUUGGCACCUCGAUGUCGGCUCAUCACAUCCUGGGGCUGUAGCCGGUCCCAAGGGUAUGGCUGUUCGCCAUUUAAAGUGGUACGUGAGCUGGGUUUAAAACGUCGUGAGACAGUCUGGUCCCUAUCUGCCGUGGGCGUUGGGAAUUUGAAGGGGGCUGCUCCUAGUACGAGAGGACCGGAGUGGACAGACCUCUGGUGUACCGGUUGUCACGCCAGUGGCAUUGCCGGGUAGCUAAGUCUGGAAGAGAUAACCGCUGAAAGCAUCUAAGCGGGAAACUUGCCUUAAGAUGAGAUUUCCCAGAGCCUUGAGCUCUUUGAAGGGUCGCUCGAGACCAGGACGUUGAUAGGUCAGGUGUGGAAGUGCAGUAAUGCAUUAAGCUAACUGAUACUAAUUGCCCGUGCGGCUUGUCCCC